UACGUAGGGGGCAAGCGUUGUCCGGAAUCAUUGGGCGUAAAGCGCGUGUAGGCGGCUCGAUAAGUCUGCUGUGAAAGUCCAGGGCUCAACCCUGGAAUGCCGGUGGAAACUGUCGAGCUAGAGUCCGGAAGAGGCGAGUGGAAUUCCUGGUGUAGCGGUAAAAUGCGCAGAUAUCAGGAGGAACACCAAUGGCGAAGGCAGCUCGCUGGGACGGUACUGACGCUGAGGAGCGAAAGCGUGGGGAGCGAACAGG
rnacentral:rRNA from 1 species